rnacentral:rRNA from 1 species
GACUGUGCUAAGGUAGCAUAAUAAUUUGCCUUUUAAUUAGGGGCUGGAAUGAAAGGUUCUAUGGAAAAUAGCUGUUUUAAAAGAGAAGAUUGAAUUUAAGUUCUCUAUAAAAACUUGGAGAAGUACUCAAGGGACGAGAAGCCCCUGUGGAUUUUUAUUUAUUAGAAAAUAAUUUUUAUAAUAUUUUAUUUUUUAUAUAAAUUUGGUUGGGACGACAGUAAAGUUAACUUUUUUUUAAAAUAUAAUUAGACCCUUAUUAAGGAAUAAAGAAUAAAUUACCCCAGGGAUAACAGCGUAAUACUUUUGGACAGGACAAAUGGAUAAAAGUGUUUGCGACCUCGAUGUUGAAUUAAA